rnacentral:other from 1 species
AAAUCCCUGUUGUGUUAGUGAUAGACGAUUUUUAAUUUACCAACACUUUUUAUACGGGAAUCUGCAUUUGUCUGUGGCGUAUACGCCCCCCAUUUUUGGUCAGGGGACAUAUAAAGCAGGUAAAAGGAUACCCACCUGCUCAUGCAGGUAAAAAUUAAUCUGAUACACGGCACUACGGGGAUCUA